UCGGAUUGCAGGCUGCAACCCGCCUGCAUGAAGUUGGAAUCGCUAGUAAUCGCGGAUCAGCAUGCCGCGGUGAAUACGUUCCCGGGCCUUGUACACACCGCCCGUCACACCAUGAGAGUCGGGAACACCCGAAGUCCGUAGCCUAACCGCAAGGGGGGCGCGGCCGAAGGUGGGUUCGAUAAUUGGGGUGAAGUCGUAACAAGGUAGC
rnacentral:rRNA from 1 species